UAGGGAAUCUUCGGCAAUGGGGGGAACCCUGACCGAGCAACGCCGCGUGAGUGAAGAAGGUUUUCGGAUCGUAAAGCUCUGUUGUUAAGGAAGAACGAGUGUGAGAAUGGAAAGUUCAUGCUGUGACGGUACUUAACCAGAAAGGGACGGCUAACUACGUGCCAGCAGCCGCGGUAAUACGUAGGUCCCGAGCGUUGUACGGAUUUAUUGGGCGUAAAGCGAGCGCAGGCGGUUAGAAAAGUCUGAAGUGAAAGGCAGUGGCUCAACCAUUGUAGGCUUUGGAAACUGUUUAACUUGAGUGCAGAAGGGGAGAGUGGAAUUCCAUGUGUAACGGUGAAAUGCGUAGAUAUAUGGAGGAACACCGGUGGCGAAAGCGGCUCUCUGGUCUGUAACUGACGCUGAGGCUCGAAAGCGUGGGGAGCGAACAGG
rnacentral:rRNA from 1 species